UACGGGGGGGGCAAGCGUUGUCCGGAAUUACUGGGCGUAAAGGGCUCGUAGGCGGCCAACUAAGUCGGACGUGAAAUCCCCAGGCUCAACCUGGGAACUGCGUCCGAUACUGGAUGGCUUGAAUUCGGGAGAGGGAUGCAGAAUUCCAGGUGUAGCGGUGAAAUGCGUAGAUAUCUGGAGGAAUACCGGUGGCGAAGGCGGCAUCCUGGACCGACAUUGACGCUGAUGAGCGAAAGCUAGGGGAGCAAACGGG
rnacentral:rRNA from 1 species